CCCACUGACCCAAACUGCCUUUUUAUCAACAGGCAGUGAAUUUUUGAUUAAAAACCUGCCAAUGAAAGUGACAUGAAAACAGAUGAAAACUGACACUGACCUUGCUGUGAACCCUUUAGCUUUGUUAUAGUGUGAAUCCUCCAAUGAUCCCUAGACUGGCGUCCCUGACUCUGCAACACAACAGCCUACUGAAAGCCAAUGCGGAGAAGCAGCAGCGUUUCUGUGUAACAUCUUCAAAAGGAUGAGAGGAGUAAAGUGGAAAGCGAAAACCCACCUACAGAGUUCAGUGUGUGUGCGACAGGUGCACAGGUGUGUGAGGGCAAAACUCACAAUUUACAGUCUUUGUACUGAAGUACUAUUGGUGUACAUCGGGGGUCGCCAACUGGCGGACUCCAGUCCAAAUCUGGGCCGCGAGAUGCGUCUAUCCGGACGGCGUAGCCUUUUGACAUAAUAAAAUAAAUAAAUGCCAGAUGAUAAUUUCUAACAAAAUCAAAUUUAUAUCAAGCACAUCAAGGUCAGCUCAGUAGAUAAGUUUUAGCUAGUUUUAGCAAGACUGCAAACUUUAGUCAAAAAAGCGUAACGGCUAAUGCUAACGCUUCCGCUUUGGGGUACGCAGGGAAGGAGACCAGAGGCCAUUAUGUUUGAAUGGAUGUCAAUGGAGGA